rnacentral:rRNA from 1 species
AGUAAUGCCUAGGAAAUUGCCUUGAUGUGGGGGAUAACCAUUGGAAACGAUGGCUAAUACCGCAUAAUGCCUACGGGCCAAAGAGGGGGACCUUCGGGCCUCUCGCGUCAAGAUAUGCCUAGGUGGGAUUAGCUAGUUGGUGAGGUAAUGGCUCACCAAGGCGACGAUCCCUAGCUGGUCUGAGAGGAUGAUCAGCCACACUGGAACUGAGACACGGUCCAG